rnacentral:rRNA from 1 species
GACCGCAAGGCCUUGCGCGAACGGAGCGGCCGAUGGCAGAUUAGGUAGUUGGUGGGAUAAAAGCUUACCAAGCCGACGAUCUGUAACUGGUCUGAGAGGACGACCAGCCACACUGGGACUGAGACACGGCCCAGACUCUUACGGGAGGCAGCAGUGGGGAAUUUUGGACAAUGGGCGAAAGCCUGAUCCAGCCAUGCCGCGUGCAGGAUGAAGGCCUUCGGGUUGUAAACUGCUUUUGUACGGAACGAAAAGACUCUGGUUAAUACCUGGGGUCCAUGACGGUACCGUAAGAAUAAGCACCGGCUAACUACGUGCCAGCAGCCGCGGUAAUACGUAGGGUGCAAGCGUUAAUCGGAAUUACUGGGCGUAAAGCGUGCGCAGGCGGUUAUAUAAGACAGAUGUGAAAUCCCCGGGCUCAACCUGGGAACUGCAUUUGUGACUGUAUAGCUAGAGUACGGCAGAGGGGGAUGGAAUUCCGCGUGUAGCAGUGAAAUGCGUAGAUAUGCGGAGGANACACCGNAUGNGCGAAGGCAAUCCCCUGGGCCUGUACUGACGCUCAUGCGCGAAAGCGUGGGGAGCAAACAGGAUUAGAUACCCUGGUAGUCCACGCCCUAAACGAUGUCAANUGGUUGUUGGGUCUUCACUGACUCAGUAACGAAGCUAACGCGUGAAGUUGACCGCCUGGGNGAGUNANCNGGCCGCAAGGCCCCAAACUCAAAGGAAUUGA